UUUGGGCAGGAAAAGUGAAAGCAGGCAUUCUUACGCGUAUUACUGCCAGGCAGAGAAAAAAACUUCAGUAUGUCGUUUUAACAAGGACAUUAUAAAUGAUUUCGUUACAACAUGUGUUCUACAGCGAGUUUUGAAAUGAAUGUGAAGACUGCUCAUGGAGAACACGAGUGGCUACAAAAGCACCCAGUGAUAUAAAUGUAGAAGAUAUCAGCAAGUCCUGCCAUUUAAAAGUUCAUAUGCAGAAGCACAACGGAAAAAACUGACCAACAGACGCCCAGCAUUGCAGCUAGAGCCGUGGUGGAGGACGACUCCCAAUCCUCUGUCCUGUCCAAGACUCUUAAGAUCCAAGAUGAAUGAUGCUUCUGUUUUAAACAGCACUCCUCUACAGACACCCAGCAUUGCAGCUAGAGCCGUGGUGGAGGACGACUCCCAAUCCUCUAUCCUGUCCAAGACUCAGAUGGAUGAUGCUUCUGUUUCAAACAGCACUCCUCAACAGAAUGGACAAACAGUGCAAAGGUAAAACUGCCCAUAAGAAGAAAACACCUUGGCUGCAGACAGAGGUGCAGGCGGUGGAAUGGCACACGAAUCGCUUCAUCACAUCUUGUAUCGUACCAGCACAGCGAGACUGUGAGAAGUGUUUAAGGGCUGAACCAGAAGCUCCUAAGAACCGUGACUGGCAAAAUCUGAAAUUCUAUGUUUAUAAUCGUAUUACGGCCUACAAAAGAAAAUUGCAAUACAGAUAGUUUAAAGAUCA